AGUUCCAAUCAAGACUGUGAGGUCUUGUAGAAGUUCACCGGCGUCCCCCUCCCACCUCCUCCCGUGUCUACCCGGUCGGCCCCGCCGCCGUGGCCCAUCCCCAGCGUGUCUCCUCAUGGUCUCUCCUCCGCAUCCACCGCCGCUUCUGGCUAUCCCUUCCCAGCUCCAGCGCAUCCGACCACCGCCGUUGACCCCGCGCCUCCCGUCGCCCAUCCUGCCGGCGCCGGAACAGCCGACGGUCCCCACUCUACCGGCACUUCUAGCUAGGUCGUCGUGCGCUGGCGCGCAUGUCGUGAGCAGCGGCCAGCAGAUAAAUCUGCUUGCAAGGCUCUUGAUGAUCUAUCCAUUUCAUGAAAUGUUUAAGGGUAAGGCAAUUUCGCGGAUGUGGUGACAUCACCAAACCACAUGCAGCAUCAAAAAAACAAUUCAGAAGGAAACAAAAAGGAAGAGAAGCAAUGCUAACAUGGGACUCGACAGGCCGUUUUCCAAAGACUGCGUGCCUCCAAGUAUCUGGCCCCUAAGGAAGGUAAUUGGAAAAAGGUUGAACUUUCACUCCAAAAACUAAGAUCUGUUGCACCUUAUAAGCAUUGAACGUGCCUCAUGACCUCAAACAAAGCAUAUGUAUACUGUUAUUUCCUUGGCUCAAGAGUAUUUCAAGUUUUCAACACAGCAUACAAUAAAUAGCAAGAAAUCCAUGGUUCAGCUCUCUUGAACAAACAUCCCAAAUAUUUGUGCUCUGGAAAUGACAACAUGGAACUAACCUCUAGUUCUAGUUCAGUAUCCUCACAAAUUACAGUUCAACACUCUCCCGCCAUCUAUGGCGCCAUCUAUGGUUCACCACUUUUGUCAUCUCUUAUUGGGCAUUUCUAAGAUACCCGAUUGCUUUAUCAAUAAUCUUCAUGUCUUCAGCUUUGCAUCAACUUCUCCGAGAUAGUUGCAAGAUCUCAACCACUGUGUAGAUUUUGUGGCUCUGCAUUUGAUAUGAAAUCCUGGUCGGUCAUCUAUGACCGCAAGGAUUUUCCUGAAAAGUACCACUCCGUAGCAGCUAGAAACAGAAAGUAGGGAAAUGAUAAGCAAAACGUGGCAUAGUGCAAGGGGGCAUAUAUUUUGUGAUGUGAAGUCUGCAUAUUCCUACUUUCUUCUAUCGACAGCAGCCCCCUAACAUGCAAAAUUAUGGCCCAGCCCCUUCCCAGAUAAACUGAGAUAUUACGAAGUACUAUCAACUGAAAAGUGGCAUUGCCAUCUAUAUACAUAGGCCCUGUCACUCUCAAUUGCAGGACAACAAAACAGGAAAAAUCGAAGUUUGGCAUUAUCAAAUUUUGACCCUUUUAGCAUAUAUAUCAUGUGACUUAAUAGAUGAUAUUUUUUCAGUGUAUAUGUAGGAAUUUAAAAGAAACAAUACAAUAAAAAUUAUCAUCAAAAGGGGAAAAUGUAAGGAUACCUUCCAAAAUGUCCCUGAAAAUCAUCUUGUCAUCGGUAAUUUUGAAUGUCUUCUCAUACAAAAUCAGGACCAUUUGGUCUAUCAUCGACCCCAUAUUUUUCCAUCGCCGGCGUCUGUACUACUGUCUUGAACAACAAUAUUGCUCGGGAAAGAAAUAUCAUAAAUUUAUAAUUAUCAUGCAGUUCGCAAUAUUAACCAUCCAAAAGCAACUCUCUGACACCAAACUAUGGGAAAUACGCAAAUUAAAAAUGUUAGCAGCAUUGUAAUUUACCGGCAACAAUUUCGAACAUAAUACUAAUAAUAGAAUGCAUUAGCAGCUUGUAGCAAUGGACUACAAAACAAUUUCACUGCUCGCUGAAAAUGGACAACUAAGUUUGUACGGUUCCCACUUUGGAAUCCUGAGAUCUCUUAAUACAAAGGUAUCUACUUUGCUUAUAUUGUACAUGAUAUGAUAUUUGAAGCAUAACAAACUAAUUACCUUUCUAGAGCCGCUUCAAUCAUUAGUGAAUGAAAAGUUUCAGAGGGAAGCCCUAUAGGGGAACAAAUAAUAGGAAAUAACACAGAGGUCUCCAAACAAAUGAAAUCUCAGCUCUCAAAAUAAAUGAUUGAGUGUGAAACUGAAGUACACAACUUAGUAUCUAACCUUGUGGUUUUGUGGGUAUUCUUCUGGUACAUACUGGUAGCCUUGGAUUAAAAAAUCUCAACCGUACAUGAUACACAUUCCACCAAUUGUUUAGCAUAGUACUGAGAAAGAUCAGAACCAUGACUCCUCUUGGCUAACUGACCACAAAUGAACGAAGUAGCAAAACCCACAAUAUGAAUAUCUCAUCUGUGUAUGUAUCGAACUGCUUGUAAGCACCAUAGAGUUAUAUUAUUAGUAGUACAUAUAAGCUUGAAUUGGCAUACAUCCUUUUCCCUAUAAGCAGGAAAAAUGUCAAAGUAAUACCUAAGAUAGACUGUAACAUGUACGAUAGCAUCCACAGUGACAAAAAAUGCAUUAAAACAACAUAUAGCUGGCAUUUAAUAAGCAUUGACAAUUUCCAAAAAGAAGGUUCUAUGUCAAGUGCAGAACUGCCUACAUGGAAUCGGAGAACUAUGUUCCUCCGAUGAUCAUCCAGCAUGUACGGUAUGGCCACCUCUUUGUGUUUUUAACAAUUCUUGUUUCUGCUUGCUCUCAUGGAGGGUCUACAUUUUCUUUUUCUUCCUUGCAAUUUUUCCACCUGCAUCAACGUGGGAAAAAGAUAUUUAGGUUUUAAAAAAUAGGAAAAAAUGUGCUAUAGUUUACGGCAUGAUUAGGAGUUGUUGAUUGGCCAGUCAGACCUAGAGGUCACCAAGGCGAAGGGACAGUAGCUGCCUUCUCAUGCAAAAACAAAUGGUUUGAUUGGUUCCUAAUUAGAACAUGAUCCUGUGCAAACAAAUAGUCUUGGUGUUUGCAUAAUAUGAUUCUAAAGACUUUACUUAUCAUAUGCAAUAAUACUCUUCAAUUUCCAAAAAAAAAAUGCCGGUAAGCUUACAUGUUUGUGCUUCUCUUUUUCUUAUCUGCGUGCAGGGAGGAGAGGGAGACCCGAGAAAAAGGUAGCUUACUGGUCUGCCGCUGCCUCCAUGACUCCAUCUAUGAGUGAGAUCUGGAGGCCAUGUAGUGGCACACAAAGGUGUUGCCCAUAGCCGAGUAGAGGGCGUGUAGGUUAUCUCUGAUUGGCGCCCUCCAUGAGUGUAACCUCGCCGGUCGAAGUGGCCGAGGGAUUAGGCCGGGAGGAGGCAAGAACCACUGCAGCAAGGUAUGACCGCCACUUCAAUCCAACCAGUCCGUUGCCGACCACACGCAAGAAGUUGACGAAUCAGCAACACCACGGAGGAUCAGACUACCGCGCCAACAGCCGCGGAGAGACAGACUACCGCGCUGCCACCCACCUCGGGAAGGAGAGGAGGGCGCUGAGCUUCUCAUCUGCGCCGGCAGCCGCCUCAGGAGAAAGAAGAGGACAGAUCGCCAAUAACUUCCUAAGUGGCCAGAGAGGAAGAGGGAACGGAAGGGAAUACGUGGGCGGAGGCACGGCGGCCGGAUAUGGAGAAGAGGGAUCUCGCCCUUGGGAUGAUAUGGGCGGUGGGCCGGCGGCAGUGAAGAUGAGGGAGAAGAAGGGAGAGACGGGAAACCAGCGAAGCCUCCACUCGUCUCGCGAUGUUUCGAUAGUGGUGGGCCUGAGACGUGGGCGCCGCUUUAAUUAUUGACCGCUUUACCGCUUUGACUGAAACAACAAUCAGGGAAAGCAAUCAGGAAACCGGCAGCGGCUGGAAAAAAAUAGAAGGGAAACGUGAAAUAGCCGGUAGAUAAGAAGAGACUACAGAAACCUGCCGGUAAUCUAGGGAUUUACAAUGUAAGAAAAAAGGAAAAAUGAAACAGACGCUUCUUCAAUCUACAAUACCGUGCACCUAUCUAUAGGGAAAAAAGGCAACGUGGUAAGUUCUGAUUGGAGAGAAGUGAACCAUGAAUAGUACCCAAAUUGAUGAGGUUAGAGCAAAUGGGGUUGGCUUUUAUA